rnacentral:lncRNA from 1 species
ACAAACAAAAUAGUAGUAUGGGAACCAUAAACGCACCAAUAAUAGACCAUAAUGAAAUAAAAAGAACUUUUUACUGGGACAAUAAAGACAACAUAAACAAAGGAGUUGCACAAUUAAUGGGGGACCACAACGAAAACAAUGAAACAUACCCAUACCAACACAGUUAAUGGGGGAUAAUAAAUAAACAAAACAUACUCAUCCCAAAGUAAAAGUCAUGAGGGGACCACAACGAAAGCAACGAAACAAAAUAAAAGUUAAAGACACACACCUUCGAAUGCCACUUUUCGAAAAACCCCACCAACACAAUGUCUGUAAUUGCGCGUCCAAAUCACCAAACAAACAUCACUCAACUAAAUCCCUAUACGCGUCUAAGGAGUUUGUCCUCGCAACGAAGGUCAAGAACUUGGAUAAUGAUUCUCUCGCAAAAAUCAGAAUGGGUUGUGCCCUAACUACGGUUUUCCCCAAUUUCAAUAACUCAAUCUUUAUAAUCCACCUCAACCUCUAAUCGCUUACCACAUCACCACGCACAGUAUUUAAAAAAUGACACGUUACCAAUUUAUAAUGCUAUAUCAUCAAUACAUUAACAACGUUAAUUUUUUUAACGGAAAGGAUGAUAUUGGUACAAAAUUUUCUACAUAAGGACAAAAUAGAUGCUUAUUUUAAACAAGGGACCAAAUUGACACAAUCGCACAUAACUAGAAACAAACGAGGCUAUUAAGCCCACUUUUAAUAUAUAAAUCAAAAUC